rnacentral:rRNA from 1 species
UUGCCAGACUCCUACGGGGGCAGCAGUGAGGAAUAUUGGUCAAUGGCCGAGAGGCUGAACCAGCCAAGUCGCGUGAGGGAUGACGGCCCUACGGGUUGUAAACCUCUUUAGGCGGGGAGCAAUGCCGGGCACGCGUGCCCGGAGGGAGAGUACCCGCAGAAAAAGCAUCGGCUAACUCCGUGCCAGCAGCCGCGGUAAUACGGAGGAUGCGAGCGUUAUCCGGAUUUAUUGGGUUUAAAGGGUGCGCAGGCGGAAUGUAAAGUCAGCGGUAAAAUUGCGGGGCUCAACCCCGUCGAGCCGUUGAAACUGGCAGACUUGAGUUGGCGAGAAGUACGCGGAAUGCGCGGUGUAGCGGUGAAAUGCAUAGAUAUCGCGCAGAACUCCGAUUGCGAAGGCAGCGUACCGGCGCCAGACUGACGCUGAGGCACGAAAGCGUGGGGAUCGAACAGGAUUAGAUACCCGGGUA